rnacentral:lncRNA from 1 species
AAAUAUUUUAGAUUUUUUUAUAAUAUUUAACGGUUAAAACUAAUCAAAAAUUAAUUAGUAAAUUUUUUAAAAUAUUAAUAGCAUUUUAAUGUAUUUUUUAUGACUAGAAAAUUUUUUUCAUAGAGUCUAAAUAAUAAUUUAUUUUUUACAAUUAGUAAAUUUUUUUAUAAAUUCUAAAUAAUAAUUGAUCAUCUAUCUUGAAUAUUGAGUUUCUGCUAAGUGUUAAAAAGUAGAAAUCGGGUGAAAUUUAUUGUGACGCAUGAACCGUGGCUACAAUAUACACAUAAUUCAGGUAUUUAACUAGGAAAACUCCUUUGGGUUCGGAUUCAAUAGAAACUUCUGAAUUUCGAGAUUUCAAAAGAAAUUUUUUUUCUCUUAAAAAAAUAAUUAUUUAAAAAAGAGAUAUUUCUAGAGAAAAUGUGAUUUUCUAGUCCCUGCUAAUUAGUUAGAAUUUCUAUAAUACUCCAAUUAAAUUAAAAUGAAUUCUAACAGAUGAAAAAAAAGUAAAUAAUUUAAUAGUAAUAAAAAUUACAAAUUUUGUAUACUUCGUAAAAAGAAAAUUUAUAAUUAAUUUUGAGGAUAUAUUUGAGUAAAUCUGGCAAAUUUCAGAUUUUACUCUCUAAAUAAUCAAUCCUCCUUUCAAAAAAAUAAUUAAUUUUGAGAUUCUAUUGAAUAAAAAAAAAUUAAUUGCAUUGAAGUAUAUAAGGAUUGAAAGUUCGAUUUCCCUUUUUUUAAAUUGGCCAAGAAGAUGAGCAGCUGAUUUCAUCCAUCCAGCUCUUUGACUGUCUAAUUAAUACCUUAUUUAAACAAGCUAGAUUAAUUGUUUGAAUUUUUAUAUAAUAUUUAUUUAAGAUUUUAAGGUGAUAAGAUUCAGAUUAUUUAUAAUUUUAUUUAAAAUUUUUAAUUAAUUCGAUCUUAAUUACAUCUUUUAUUUUCUUCUCUCCCAAAAGCCAACAAUUCAUGGAAUCUUCGGUACUCUUCUAAACUCUCUGGUGAUGUGAAUGAAUGAAGGACAGUUGAUAAGCAAUUACUUUCUAAAUGAUAUCGAUAAGGAAAAAAUGCAUUAAUCGCCAUUACGUGAGUAAAGGUUAGUAAGCAUUUGCAUGGUGGGUACGUUUUGCCUGUCAUUUAUUAACCAUGCACACAGCAUUGUUGCCGGAGUUUGUUCUGUAAUAACUUAGAUGGCCUUACAUUUGCGACAGGAUUCGCACAUUAACUUGAAUAUGUCGAAGGGAAUGAAAGAACAGGAAUAUGCCACGAAAACUCCUCCUGUUAAAAAUUAUCAUCUUUCUCGUUUAUUCUUUUAUGGUCCACGUCUCAUUUCACUAUCCGCAUCGAGGACCAGCAGCGGUCUCCAAGAACCUAAUGGGAUCCAACUCAUAAAUCAAAGCACCAGCUUUAUCUGAUUCAACCGCAGCAGAAGGAGCCGAUGGAGCAGCAGCACCAGUUGACUUUCUUCUUCAACUAGUAGUAAAGUAAGGAUAGUAGCAAGGAAAGGGAAAGAACUUGAUUCAAUUCACUCUUUCCUCUAUCUUAGCCUUUGCAGCCACAAGGGAAGAAAUACGGCGGCUAAUUCAUUCCUUUUUGGAGAAGAAAGGCUGAAAACUGGGUGUUUAUAAACUCACCACCCCAUCACUGAAGAAAUUUAACACGGGAAUUACAAAAGUUUUCAGCCAUUGAAAUAAAUUUUAAGAAUUUGCCAAAUGUUUCAGAUUUUAGUCUCAUAGGAUAUACACAUAUAACGAGAAAAUUCAUCAAUAAAAAUCAAAAAAUAAAAAAUUUCAAUCCAGAAUUAGAGAUAAUAGGAGAAGUCCAGACGUAGAUGAGAACAAUAUGUAAAGAAGACGAUGCAUGCACAGAAAAAUAUCAAAAAGGGGAAAUUUAUACGAUAUAUAUAUAUAUAUAUAUAUAUAGUGGAAAGAGAAGAAAUACAAAAUCCCUUUAAAUCUUUAAAUUAUUUAUAAAUUAAUUAUUUAAUUAUUUAAGUGGUUGAUAAUUUU